rnacentral:rRNA from 1 species
UUGAUCCUGCCGGACCCGACUGCUAUCAGAGUGGGACUAAGCCAUGCGAGUCAACGCAGCAAUGCGUGGCAUACGGCUCAGUAACACGUAGUCAACAUGCCCAGGGGACGUGGAUAACCUCGGGAAACUGAGGAUAAACCGCGAUAGGCCAAGGUUUCUGGAAUGGACACUGGCUGAAACCUAUAUGGCCCCUGGAUUGGACUGCGGCCGAUCAGGCUGUUGGUGAGGUAAUGGCCCACCAAACCUGUAACCGGUACGGGCUUUGAGAGAAGGAGCCCGGAGAUGGGCACUGAGACAAGGGCCCAGGCCCUAUGGGGCGCAGCAGGCGCGAAAAUUCUGCAAUAGGCGAAAGCUUGACAGAGUUACUCUGAGUGAUGCCCGCUAAGGGCAUCUUUUGGCACCUCUAAAAAUGGUGCAGAAUAAGGGGUGGGCAAGUCUGGUGUCAGCCGCCGCGGUAAUACCAGCACCCCGAGUGGUCGGGACGAUUAUUGGGCCUAAAGCAUCCGUAGCUUGUUCUGCAAGUCUUCCGUUAAAUCCACCUGCUCAACAGAUGGGCUGCGGGAGAUACUACAGAGCUAGGAGGCAGGAGAGGCAAGCGGUACUCAGUGGGUAGGGGUAAAAUCCGUUGAUCCAUUGAAGACCACCAGUGGCGAAGGCGGCUUGCCAGAAUGCGCUCGACGGUGAGGGAUGAAAGCUGGGGGAGCAAACCGGAUUAGAUACC